ACUCCUACGGGAGGCAGCAGUGGGGAAUAUUGGACAAUGGGCGAAAGACCUGAUCCAGCCAUGCCGCGUGUGUGAAGAAGGUCUUCGGAUUGUAAAGACACUUUAAGUUGGGUAGGAAGGGCCGAUUACCUAAUACGUGAUGGUUUUGUACGUUACCGACAGAAUAAGCACCGGCUAACUCUGUGCCAGCAGCCGCGGUAAUACAGAGGGUGCAAGCGUUAAUCGGAAUUACUGGGCGUAAAGCGCGCGUAGGUGGUUUGUUAAGUUGGAUGUGAAAUCCCCGGGGCUCAACCUGGGAACUGCAUUCAAAACUGACUGACUAGAGUAUGGUAGAGGGUGGUGGAAUUUCCUGUGUAGCGGUGAAAUGCGUAGAUAUAGGAAGGAACACCAGUGGCGAAGGCGACCACCUGGACUGAUACUGACACUGAGGUGCGAAAGCGUGGGGAGCAAACA
rnacentral:rRNA from 1 species